GCCUCCGAGGCCCAAUGGAUGGGCGGCCGUCUUCUAAACGGCUAGUGUGCGGGUUCGACUCCCGCCGGGGGUA
rnacentral:tRNA from 2 species